GUGGGGAAUCUUAGACAAUGGGCGCAAGCCUGAUCUAGCCAUGCCGCGUGAGUGAUGAAGGCCCUAGGGUUGUAAAGCUCUUUCAGCUGGGAAGAUAAUGACGGUACCAGCAGAAGAAGCCCCGGCUAACUCCGUGCCAGCAGCCGCGGUAAUACGGAGGGGGCUAGCGUUGUUCGGAAUUACUGGGCGUAAAGCGCGCGUAGGCGGACUGAAAAGUUGGGGGUGAAAUCCCGGGGCUCAACCUCGGAACUGCCUUCAAAACUAUCAGUCUGGUGUUCGAGAGAGGUGAGUGGAAUUCCGAGUGUAGAGGUGAAAUUCGUAGAUAUUCGGAGGAACACCAGUGGCGAAGGCGGCUCACUGGCUCGAUACUGACGCUGAGGUGCGAAAGCGUGGGGAGCAAACAGGAUUAGAAACCCUAGUAGUCC
rnacentral:rRNA from 1 species